rnacentral:misc_RNA from 1 species
CAGAGUUGCAAAACUCCCAAAACCAUUGUGGACGAACUUGAUAGUUGCUUCGGCAGGUCGGCCCAGCGCCGCACGGUGGCUCCUCGCGAGCCCGCCUGCCGGAGUCGCCUAAACUCUUGAUUAUUGUUAGCAUCUCUGAGUAACUUAUUCAAUAAGUCA